rnacentral:lncRNA from 1 species
GAGAAUUGUGGUUGCCCUCCUUUUGAUAAAACUCUUGUUGGCACCAUAAAUUGGUUUUGCUUCAUAUCUGUCUUGAUCAAAAGUGUGUGAAUCUUUUAAGAAUUAUGGUUGCCCUCCAUUGAUGAAGCUCUUGUGGGCACCAUAAAUUGAUUUUGCUUCACACUGUCGUGAUCAAGAGUGUGUGAAGCUUUCUACGAGUUGUAGUGUUUGCAUUGUUACAGAGGGGAAAUGUUUGAAGCAGAUGCACGAGGGCUGAAUAGCUUGAUCUUCGUAUGUCAUGCACUGAAGUUGUUGUUGGCUUGCAAUAAGGCUUUGUUGGUGACUAUAACUCUUGUUGGGCAUAUGCGCUCCCCUAGUUGAGUUGUCAAGCUUGAGGAUUUUUUAUUAUUUGUGAAUGCUAGAAGUUCACAUGUACAAGUUGUACCACUCGUCUUCUGGUAGGUGGAAUGAAUGGUGAGUUGCUUUCAUCACUUGGU